GUGUGUGUGUGUGUGUGUGUGUGUGUCUACAUGGUACUAGGGCUCAAACCUGGGGUCUUACCGCUGAGUUAUGGCCCCAACCCUUUUUUGUUUUUAUUCUGAGACAAUCUCAUUAAUUUGCCCAGGCUGGAUUUGAACUGAACUUGCAGUCCUCUCCUGCCUCAACCUCCCAGAAUGCUGGCAUCACAGAUGUGCACCACCACACAUGACCAUCCAUACUGUCUUCGUCUCUCUGCAGUGUUAUAGCUAGGCAUGCUCUCCCAGGAGGCCAAGCACAUAGGACCACCCAGUCUUGGAGGUUCCUCCUCCAAAAUUUGCAGGUGAGGAGGGGCCCUGGGAGCCACGUGACCCAACUUCUGCCUGGAGUGAGAGACAUGACAUCAGCCAGCCACUUCCUCAGGCUGCGUGGUGAAUCGGUGAAUGGGAGCCUUCCCGAGCAAGGACCAGAACAUGUGACCCGGUGCCCCAAGGACAGAGCAUUGCCCUGUGGCACACAGCAGCCCUGGGUUGCUGUGUGCCUCAGUUUCCUCACUCUGAGGUUGCUGAUGGACAUUUUUCUCUGCCUGGCAGUUACUGGGUAAAAAUGUCCUCCCAUACUAGACACUCAAAGAUGGGUGCUUUUAGAAGCCAUUGUUUCAUUCUUUUACAAGUUCUAUGCUGCCUUUAUUUAAAAAAAAA